GGUCCAGUAGUGUAGCGGUCCAUCACAUCGGAUUCUGAUUCCGGUAACCCAGGUUCGAUUCCUGGCUGGACCU
rnacentral:tRNA from 1 species